CAGGACUUUAGGCAAAAUGAUAGCAGGAGCUUGGUGGCGCAACCCACCGUCCGGUUUCAAAGGGGGCGCUCGUAGCAUGCGUCCAUCCAUGCGGAUCGACCAGGAUUCGCAGGGAGAGCGGACGGAGGACAGAUCGACUCGGAGGAGCUGGUGCGGAAGCAUCGUAUAGCAGCCGCUCUAACGAGAGUUUAACACUCUAACGGAAGUGCGCUUACUUGUAUAACUUUAACUGGAUGGAUUAACGACAGUAUAUGCAUGAAACGGCCGUGCCUUCCUGAACCACCAUCGACUACAAUAAGGAAUAAGUCACUUAACCAAAAUAAUUGGUGCCGAAACCACGAUACUCUUCUUCGUGUUGGCGUUCUUGUUCUUGUGGUAUCAACACGUGGCUCGUACUGCGAGGGCCAUUGGCCGCACUGGUGGUAAAUAAAAGGGCACAGAACAAAGAAAAAAAAGGGGGGGAGAGAUAAUUAAAAUGGACACCUUGUACGACAGAAGCGUAACUCCUUCUUCGUUAUUAUUGUAAUUAUAAUAUCAAUAUUAAUACGAUCUACUACAGUAACCCUUUGUAAAUGUUAUUAGCUGCCCCUGUAUGCUCAGUGUCUAUUUCCCGAACAAAACCGCUUUAAACGAAAUUAGAGUUACUGAGUUACUAGUUUCAGAUUCUUGAAAGUACAACAGAUGAAUAAACAACAGUAUUUUUCAGAAAUAUUGCGUUAAUCAAAUCAGCACCGGGACUUGGUGGCAACUGCAUACCAUUAAUUACAUUUUAGACCCCAAGAGGGUGUUACGGUUCACUGUGUGCGGCCAUGAAUGAAACGGCUGCCAAGCGCCUCAGACACCACGUACCUAGUCGUCCCGCUCGUCAACAUGAAAAUACUUCUACGUCGGGUGCUUGCGGCGCGAUUAUGCAAAUCCUACUCUCCUUUGUCCUACGUUCAACCCCUCUACGCCAGGGAGUGAUUUCUCUCGGAAUUCCUCUGUGUGGGUUCACCAGUGUAUUGACCCGAGGUAACCUGCGCUCCCUACCUCUACACUAGUAAGUGGGUCUUCUCCGUUUUCCUCUGUGUGAACUGACCAGUGUGCUGACAAGGCGUUAGUUCUCGGUUGCUACGCAGCAAGAGAGAAUGCGGUUGCCCGGAUGGUGUAGAGCAUAAGAAGGCAUCGAGUCGCGACGGACAGAUCUUCUCUGUCUGCGCUCCCUACCUCUACACUACAAGAGAGAAUGCGGUUGCCCGGAUGGUGUAGAGCAUAAGAAGGCAUCGAGUCGCGACGGACAGAUCUUCUCUGUCUGCGCACCCUACCUCUACACUACAAGAGAGAAUGCGGUUGCCCGGAUGGUGUAGAGCAUAAGAAGGCAUCGAGUCGCGACGGACAGAUCUCUGUCCAUACGUGCAGGUGCCCGCACGCCGAACGUUUCUGUACUAUUUUUUUGUCUUGGAGC